rnacentral:rRNA from 1 species
UACGUAGGGUGCGAGCGUUGUCCGGAAUUACUGGGCGUAAAGAGCUCGUAGGCGGUUUGUCGCGUCGUCUGUGAAAUUCUGCAACUCAAUUGUAGGCGUGCAGGCGAUACGGGCAGACUUGAGUACUACAGGGGAGACUGGAAUUCCUGGUGUAGCGGUGAAAUGCGCAGAGUAUCAGGAGGAACACCAAUGCGAAGGCACUCUACUGGGCCA